rnacentral:rRNA from 1 species
GACGAACGCUGGCGGCGUGCUUAACACAUGCAAGUCGAACGGAAAGGCCCUUCGGGGUGCUCGAGUGGCGAACGGGUGAGUAACACGUGGGUGAUCUGCCCUGCACUUUGGGAUAAGCCUGGGAAACUGGGUCUAAUACCGAAUAGGACCGCGGCCUUCAUGGGUUGUGGUGGAAAGCUUUUGCGGUGUGGGAUGGGCCCGCGGCCUAUCGGCUUGUUGGUGGGGUAAUGGCCUACCAAGGCGACGACGGGUAGCCGGGCUGAGAGGGUGACCGGCCACACUGGGACUGAGAUACGGCCCAGACUCCUACGGGAGGCAGCAGUGGGGAAUAUUGCACAAUGGGCGCAAGCCUGAUGCAGCGACGCCGCGUGAGGGAUGACGGCCUUCGGGUUGUAAACCUCUUUCGCCAGGGACGAAGCGCAAGUGACGGUACCUGGAGAAGAAGGACCGGCCAACUACGUGCCAGCAGCCGCUGUAAAAC